AUACGUAGGUGGCAAGCGUUAUCCGGAAUUACUGGGCGUAAAGAGUGCGUAGGUGGCUUUGCAAGCGUAGGGUAUAAGGCGACAGCCCAACUGUCGUUGGCCCCGCGAACUGUAAGGCUUGAGUACAGGAGGGGAAGGCGGAAUUCCUAGUGUAGCGGUGAAAUGCGUAGAUAUUAGGAGGAACACCAGUGGCGAAGGCGGCCUUCUGGACUGUAACUGACACUGAGGCACGAAAGCGUGGGUAGCAAACAGGAUUAGAUACCCUGGUAGUCCACGCCGUAAACGAUGAGCACUAGGUGUCGGGCUCGCAAGAGUUCGGUGCCGGAGCAAACGCAUUAAGUGCUCCGCCUGGGGAGUACGCACGCAAGUGUGAAACUCAAAUGAAUUGACGGGG
rnacentral:rRNA from 1 species